rnacentral:sRNA from 11 species
CGGGAGGUACGAAUUUCAACCGAUUCAGGUCGAGUUUGUAGACCUCUCUUAAUAAUCAAUCCGCAAAAAGUAAAAAACCACAAAAGUCAAAAUAUAGGAGUUUUUCCAACUUUUUUACAACUAGAACAUUUAGAAAGGCUAAAAAGAAAAGA